rnacentral:rRNA from 1 species
GAUGAACGCUGGCGGUAUGCCUAACACAUGCAAGUCGUACGAGAGUUUUUAACUCUAGUGGCGGACGGGUGAGUAACACGUGAGAAUUUGCCUUUAGGAGGGGGAUAACAAUUGGAAACGAAUGCUAAUACCCCAUAUGCUUUUGAGUGAAAUGGAUUUUAUCCGCCUAAAGAGAAGCUCGCGGCUGAUUAGCUUGUUGGUAAGGUAAGAGCUUACCAAGGCGACGAUCAGUAUCUGGUUUGAGAGGACGAUCAGACACACUGGAACUGAGACACGGUCCAGACUCCUACGGGAGGCAGCAGUGGGGAAUUUUCCGCAAUGGGCGAAAGCCUGACGGAGCAAUACCGCGUGAGGGAAGAAUGCCUAUGGGUUGUAAACCUCUUUUUCAGGGAGGAACAAAAUGACGUGUACCUGAAGAAUAAGCAUCGGCUAACUCCGUG